rnacentral:rRNA from 1 species
GAUCCUGGCUCAGGAUGAACGCUGGCGGCAGGCUAAUACAUGCAAGUCGAACGGUAACGACCGGUAGCAAUACUGGGGCGACGAGUGGCGCACGGAUGCGUAACGCGUAUGCAACCUACCCUCAACCGGGGCAUAACGCCGAGAAAUUGGCGCUAAUAUCCCAUGUGUAUGGGAAGUGGCAUCACUUUCUAUAUAAAGAUCCGCUGGUUAAGGAUGGGCAUGCGUAACAUUAGCUGGUUGGCGGGGUAACGGCCCACCAAGGCGACGAUGUUUAGGGGUUCUGAGAGGAUUCACCCCCACACUGGAACUGAGACACGGUCCAGACUCCUACGGGAGGCAGCAGUAGGGAAUAUUGGGCAAUGGAGGCAACUCUGACCCAGCCAUGCCCGCGUGAAGGAGGACGGCCCUAUGGGUUGUAAACUUCUUUUGCCGCAGAGUAACCCGGGGGACGCGUCCCCGCUGAGAGUAUGCGGCGAAUAAGUAUCGGCUAACUCCGUGCCAGCAGCGGC